UGGGUUCUUGCAUCAUAGUGAUUCUAAAUGACUAGAAGUGAAGGGUCUGUCUGGCACAGCAGUUGGGGACCAGUACUGAGAUUUCAGGACUUCCGAUAUGACCGUCUUUGUGGAUCAGGCUGCCUUUACAUUCAAGGUCGGAAGCAGAGGGUAAUAAGGUGUAAUGGAAUGAGAAUGGAACAAGCACAGGAUCUGGAGACACAAGCCAGGUCUCCAGUCACUGCUUAGCCGGAGAUGAAUGGCUGGAGACCUUGGACACAAUGCUGCCUUGGGUCUCAGGAGGAGUUGCACCAGAAGAUUUUGCUCACCUAGCAACACUGGCUGUGGCUGAGGAGUGGUGUUCCUCUACACAGAGCCUGGGCUUUCCUCCAGACUUGCUGCCCUCUUGCAAGCCCCCUGCCUGAUGUCACCUGCCUGAUGCUGGUGCUUUUCGACUGCUGUAUCUAUGAAGGGAGAAGCAUUUGCUGCUGAAACACUUGAGAGUAAAGUUUAGCAGAUUCAUCUGGUGAGAGAAUGGAAAAAGGGAGACAUUCAUCAAUUUUACAACCUGCAGUCCAUCCUCAGACCAAAUCAGGAAGAAGAGUGCAUGGAGAAAACAUUUGGGAAGAAAAGGUAUUUUCAAAACAUCUGGAGCAAGAGACAAAUCCCAUCAGCUCAGUUCCAACAAUAUAUGCAGAUGGGCAACUGAUGGUCAGACUCCAGUGGUUCUUCAAAACUUUCUAGGAGGUAAACAAGAUGAAAGGGAAAGCACACAAAUUUGCUGGAAUUUGGAAAACACGAACCCUGGAAUUUGGAGGAGUCACUUCCACUGGAAAAUACUUUUAUAUUAUUUAUAGUGGCUACCAUUACCGUGCUCACUUUACAGGUGAGGUUCAGAGAUUUAUGUAACAUGCCAAAGGUCACACAGCUGGACACAGCAGAACCAAGAUUCAAAUCUGCACAGCAGUAAAUGAAACCAGCCCAGCUGCGUGCUCACCUGAAACUUAUUUUCUCCUUCACGUUCCAAACUCAUGACUUGCUUGUGGCAGAAAAAAAGAACUACUUCGGGGUCCGCAACCCCUGGCAGUGGACCGGUACCAGCCCAUGGCCAGUUAGGAUCUGGGUAACACAGCAGCAGGGCCAUUUCAGUCCAAGGAGGAAUGGGACGCAUAGGUGACCACCAAAUAGUGAAGAAUAUGAAAAUCCAUGGUCAUCCCAGAAAAGAUGAGAAAAACUGAGGCUCAGAGAUGCAAAGUAGUUUUUCUAAGUAUUGGACUCAAAAGUCUUCAUUCUUUCUGCCACAAAAUGCUGCCUUAUAGCUGUCACAGCUAUGGGUAUACCACAGCACUGUGAAAUGGGAGAUUCCCUGAUCCCCCUGGCGGGAUGUGUGACAGGAGUAUGGCUCGCCUGUUCAGUUGCUGACACUGCUCAAAGCCCUGAUGGGAGGCGGGGCAUGCAGAUGGAUAGAUACAGGAGCUCAGGAUUGUUUUCUUCCAUCUGUGCAAAGUUCUACUUCCAUAGGGCAGGCCUUGUGCUGACCCAUGGAGGGCAUUGGAGAGGAAUCUUACUUGGUUUUUCUUGUAAAUUGGUCAAAAUCAUUAGCCUGAAGGUCUUACAUUUGGGGCAAGAAAGACUAAACCACCUGACUUAUUUUUGUCACAACUCAAAGGAAAGAUGGGAAUAUGGGUGAGAAGGACUGAUAUUCCCCAGGCAGAACUUUACAAGAACAGAAGGAAAUGUUUUCUUCAGAUGAUAAUCCAAGGAUGUGGUGAGCCCAGACAUGAGGGUAGUUGAGAAAGCAUGCCAGAGACUGUGCUGAAUGCAUUUGGAUUGCACAGGUUUGCCAGAUCCCAAAGCUAAUUAGGACUAGGCAGAAAGAGGCUCAGCACUCCACAGCCUGGCUAGUUCCCUUAAGGUAAUGCUUUUUUGAAGUCUGAGAAUAUCCCAUUGUUUAUUUAAGCUUUAGCCCUCAGCCUUUUCCAAAAGGAUUUGAAGGGGCUUAAACAUUAAUCAAAAUGCAAACUAAGAUUAUUAGUAAUAAGCCAAAAUCAAGUCUAUCCAAAUAAAUAAAUAAAAGAAUAAAUGUUGCCAGAGGUGGAAGAUAAGCUGAUUGUUUCUCUGGGUAAUGGGUUUGGCACCAGUGUGAGAAUAUUACCUGGGAUAUCCCUGAGGGAAGACAGAACCCAGGCACAUAUCUAACAAAAGACACUGUCAAAUCUCAAGGUUGGCCAAAUUACAGGGUUGAGCAACAUCUGCCCUCCCACCCACCAAUUCUGAGAUUAUUUUUAUUUUAUGUGGAAUUUUGUUUAAAUAAGCAUCACUUUCAGGGGUUGGUGGUGGUGGUAAAAUCAGACAUGAUUCCUGAUGGUGUAUGAGGAUGGUGAGAGGCACUCUUAACUCGAAUUAGUUGAAUUUGAGAGGGAAGUAUCUGGAUGAGCCUCAGCUUUUCCCUUUUCACCCAGAAGCAACAAAAAGAGCAAAGCAUUACUCUUCUCUCCUGGGGGACUGGCUGCCUCUGUGACUGCUCUAAGAGCCACAGUAUCAAUUCUACUCCCUCCCUACCUUGCCCGUCUUUCAUGUGGAAGGCAUUCAACAUUCUCCACCCCCAUUUCAGGGAAAGGUAAGCAGAUCCUGGAGCAGUGUUAUUUAAGACACAAGAAAAAUUGUACUAAAGUGUGUGCCUGUGUGUGUGUGUGUGUUUGUGUGUGGUGUGUGCUGAAUGUCAGUGAACUCAGGAACAAUAGAAGCCUACAGAUAUUUCUAGACCUUAGGGCAAGGUUUGGGCAAUUUCUCAAAUAAUCUUUCUUUCUGUUGCAGCCAUCAGCAGAAAUUUGAUGGGUCAUUGGCCAAUGCAUUCAUGAGUUUGGAGGGAGACAACUAAAACUUUACUGAGCUAGGCCAGACCACAAAGGUCUGGACCAGGUUUUCAGAUUGCUAAAAAUAACAAUUCUGACUUAUUAAUUACUGAGGCAGAACAGGAAUGAUAUACAUGAAGGACUAGGCUCUGAAAUGCCUCAGGGAGGCUGUAGAAGUCAGUCAAUGCCACAGUACCGCUGUGCAGCCAUCCCCACCCCCACUCCUCAGCUCGGUGGCUGAAAAACACAGAAUUAAUUUGUGCUCACACAUCUUUGGGCCAGCUAGAGUUUCAUUAAACUGAUCUGGGUUCCACUAAACUUAAACUUUGGGCCACGGAUUGAGGUCAGAGUCUCUUGUUCUGUAACGAGUAGGCAACUCAGGAACUUUCUAUCAUGGCUAUGGGAAAAGUGCAAGAAGACAAGUCCAAUCCUGCAUGCACAUUUCAAAUCACAUUUCAAUUGUACUAACAUCCCACUAUCUAAAACAAGUUCCAUGGCCAAAUCAAAGGUCAGCAGCCAGGGAAACAUUUUCUGUCUAUUCUGAGCCCAUGGCAAGAACUUGGAUGGAUGAUACUACAAGGGAGUGAAAAAUUGGGAACAAUAAUUCUAUGCCAAAGAAUAAUGCCAAAUAAUACCACUAAUGCCAAAGAGGCAUUCCUGAAUUGGUAGGUUAUGCAGCCUAUGUGGAGAAAGCAAAUUCUCUGGUUAGGAAAGCCCCAAACCAGAGACCUAGGGCUUUCUGUAAUGUUUUAGGCCAGUGAAAAGCGUAAGGUCGGAAAUCAGGUCCCCACUCAAGGAUGUCAUAUAAAGAUGUUGUCAUUAUAGCACACUUACAUCCUCCCAUAUUCUAUUUUUAACUGAGUCUUCAGGAGUACCUGAGGUUUCAACAUAACAGGGUAAGGUAAAGCCUUCCACGUGUUUUUUAAAUCUUUGUUUCUCUCUAGCAUGUUUUGUUCCACAAAGCUAAGGGCCAGGAAACCGUUUCUUUUUAUUAAUGAAACAAAUCUGUUCCUUGCUAUAGACAAUUUUUACUUUGUAGAGAUCUUAUUCCCUUCUUUGUGAGAACUUUCAGGAUGCUCAUGGAUAGCUCUGGCCAUGACAGUUUUAAUAGAGCUUCUUUUUCCUCUUUUAUUUAUGAUUUCUCUGUUUCACUACAUGGUUUUCAGUUUUACUGCCACUGAACAUUCAUUGCAGGCUGCCUUGAUUCAGUUUUGAAAGCAGACAAGCAAAGAAAGAAGGAGGGAGGGAGUGGAAAAGGAAGAAAUAAAAGAGAAAAAAGAUUGAACUUGGUAUCAUGUCUUGUCCUUAUGUUAAAUAAUAUUACAAUCAGGCAUAUUUUUUGGUCCUUAAUAUUAAACAACACUGAGAACAAGCAACAGUAACUUAGUUCCUGGAAGAUCCUUGCUCUUGGAAGAUAAUACCAACAGCCAACUAAAAUAGCUUACUUGUCAAGACUAAUAGUUUGCUCAUCAGAACUUCCUUCUGGAUCCCCAUAGUCCUAUUCUCAUCAACCCAAAGCUACUAUUGUAUAAACUCUGUCUUGCAAGACCCACCUUAAAAAAUGACCCAAUCUGGGCCCUUCCAUAAAUAUUCUCUCUCAUUAUUUCCCCUUGACCUUAUCGAGAUUGUGUUAUCCAGUACUGCAACAAAUCUAAUAAACUUAGAUUUGAAUAAUCAAUAGAUUUGUGGUCUUUAGGGAAAUCAUUAUUCAGCAGAAAAAAGCAAGUUUUUUAUUUGUAAAAAUCAGCCAUUGUCUUGUAUAUUUAUAUACCUGUGUAAGCUACAGAACAUACUCUGGCAAUAACCUAAAAUGCUACCAAUUUCAACCUUGUCAAAUACAUUAGUCAUCUCUGACUUUUGAUAGGAAAAGACACAUAUAACAACUGAAAAAAUUCAUUAAAAUGUGUGGUGGUUAUUAAGAAAGAUGAAGUUAUAUUUAUAAAACUAGCAAGUCAGUUUGAAAUAUUUUGACUUAAAAAGAUGAAUUGGGAAAUCUUUUUUUC
rnacentral:lncRNA from 1 species